AUGCCGAGGACAAGGAGGCUGCGCGGCGGGUUCCGGCUCGGCCGGAAGCUGCUGACCGCAUGGCGGUGGGCGCUCUGCGGCCGGAACCGGCGCCGGGGCGGCGGUGGCUACCUCCGCCUCGACACGCCGUGCCCGAUGGAGGGCAGGGAGGCCAAGAAGCUGGCACCGGUGCUGCGGUGGGGCAAGUCGCUGGCGCGGCUCCUCAGCCUCGGCCGGGCGGACCGCGGGCAGCAGACGCUCGAGGCGGUGAAGACCCCCAAGGGGCAGGUGGCGGUGUACGUCGGCGGCGGCGGGCCCGGGGAGCCGCUGCGGUACGUGGUGCCCGUGGUGUACUUCAACCACCCCAUGUUCGGGGAGCUGCUGCGGGAGGCCGAGGAGGCGUUCGGCUUCCAGCACCCCGGCGGCAUCACCAUCCCCUGCGCCGCCGCCAAGUUCGAGCGCGCCGCCGCCGUGGCCGCCGCCGGCAAGAAGGGGUUCGCCAGGUGGUAG
rnacentral:rRNA from 1 species